GUCCUGUGUUGGGGAAUCCACCACUUCUCUGGAGAGAUUGUUCCAAUGGCAGGUUCUUCUCAUCGUGAAAAAUUUUCCCUUGUGUCCAACUGGAAUGUCUAAA